rnacentral:lncRNA from 1 species
UGCUUUCUGAAACAGGUAUGAAAUUGACAAGGUCACGGCUGGGCAGCGAUUGGAUUUAAAUCUUGAAAGAGGGUAAGGCAAUUAGACUGUGUAUGUAUAAGUUGCAUAAUCUGCCUCAAGAUGGUCCUCUGUCGUCCACUUAUUGAGCUCCUGCCACUGGAUUAAAUCCAGGAAACAAUGAACCCAAAAUUGAAAAUCUGUUCAUCCAAGUCUAUGUAUAUGGUUAUCCAAUGCAAGAAUCUGAUCUUAUUGCAUUUAUAGAGUUAUUACUUGAUAAGGUUGCUACAUAUUAAAAUCUAAUGUUGUGUAAUUACACGGUGAUGUGCACAUUUAGGGUACUUUUUAUUUCGUUUUUUUGUAUAAA